rnacentral:misc_RNA from 1 species
AAGUCGUAACAAGGUUUCCGUAGGUGAACCUGCGGAAGGAUCAUUAACACGUUAUCCAACGUAUCAACCAACGAGAACCGUUUUCACUCUCUCUUUCUUUGGAAUGGAUUGAGGGCUUGUAGAGUUGUUGAAUGGGAUGCUUUGCGUCAGACUUUACUCGCCUCUGACUUGACGUAGAAAUACGUUGGGUUGGCAAUCGUAUCCUCGUAAGAAAGACUCUUCUCACUGUUCAGUCUCCAUUCAUUGACUCUUUCAGUGGGAAACCUAUUUUACCUAUUUCACCCCCCUUUUUGCUAGUUGACUUUUAUCUGUUGUACUUUUUGCGUUUCGGCGCGAGUGCACACGUUUAAAUUAUUUGAACGUUAAAAAUACAACUCUUAGCAAUGGAUAUCUUGGUUCUC